UACGUAGGGGGCAAGCGUUGUCCGGAAUUAUUGGGCGUAAAGAGCGUGUAGGCGGUCCGGUAAGUCAGCUGUGAAGGUCAAGGGCUCAACCCUUGAAAGCCGGUUGAUACUGUCGGGCUAGAGUCCGGAAGAGGCGAGUGGAAUUCCCGGUGUAGCGGUGAAAUGCGUAGAUAUCUGGAGGAAUACCGGUGGCGAAGGCGGCAUCCUGGACCAUUACUGACGCUGAGGCGCGAAAGCUAGGGGAGCAAACGGG
rnacentral:rRNA from 1 species